UGCCCCCUCAUCUAAUGGCAGGAUAUGUGACUCUGACUCACAGUGUGGGGGUUCGAAUCCCUCGGGGGCAACCA
rnacentral:tRNA from 1 species